AUGCCGCGCACGCUCCCCGCCGGUAAACCUCCGGCGCGAGCAACCCAGCCGCCGGAGCCCGCGACGCCGUCACCCAAGAGCAGGAUGGCCGACGCGCAGCUGCCGGAGCGCAAAAGGAAGGUCGCGCCAUCGGCCGGUCCGCCGAAGAAAAAGAACAAGAAGACCAGAUCGCCGCCGGCCGAGCCCGAGAAGAAACCUCUGCCUCUCCCUCUCCCGUUCGAGCAUGCCCGGACACCCGGCGACGAGGCCCCGGUGCGGGCAACCCAACCGCCGGACCCCGCGAAGAGCAAGCAUCCGCCGUCAGCCAAGAGCAGGGAGGCCGAUGCCCAGCUGCCGGAGCGCAAGAGGAAGACCGCGCCAUCAGCAGAUCCGCCCCAGAAGAAAGACGAGACGACAUCGACGCCGGCGGCCGAGCCCGGGAAGAAGCCUCUCCCGUCCGAGCACGCGUGGACGCCCGGCGACGAGGUCAAGAUACUCGAGGCCCUGGCGGCGCAUCGCCAGGAGAACGGCAAGCUGCCGAGAACCAAGGUGCUCUUCUCCUCCCUCCAGCUGCAAGGCCGCUUCGACAACAAGGGCUUCAGCCUGCCGGACCUCCGGCAGAAGGUGCGCAGUCUCAAGGGCCGGCACGACCACGAGGCCAUCAACGGCGUCCCUGCCAAAGAAAAUGAGUGCAGCCUCUGCCACCUCUCCAAGACCAUCUGGGGCACUAUUGCUACGAGCGGUGGUGAAGCAAGCGCAAAAGUGCCAAACGCGGGCAAGACAUUCGAUGAAAUGCGCCAGUUGUACCCUUGUCUCACAGAUGAGGUGACACACAUUGUGGAUGAACCCGCAGUCUUGGAGAGACUGCUCUUGGACUUUGAUGAUACCAAGGCACGUGCAUUGGACUCCAAAAUCGACAACCUCAGGAAAGAGGUCACCGAGGCUAUCAUGGAAUCGGUAAUACCUUUUAACUGA
rnacentral:rRNA from 1 species